rnacentral:rRNA from 1 species
UACGAAGGGGGCUAGCGUUGCUCGGAAUCACUGGGCGUAAAGGGCGCGUAGGGGGCCAUUCAAGUCGGAGGUGAAAGCCCAGGGCUCAACCCUGGAAUUGCCUUCGAUACUGUCUGGCUAGAGACCGGAAGAGGUAAGUGGAACUGCGAGUGUAGAGGUGAAAUUCGUAGAUAUUCGCAAGAACACCAGUGGCGAAGGCGGCUUACUGGUCCGGUUCUGACGCUGAGGCGCGAAAGCGUGGGGAGCAAACAGG